GUCCUCGUAGCUCAACGGACAGAGCGUCGGCCUCCGGAGCCGAAAAUCUGGGUUCAAAUCCCAGCGAGGACG
rnacentral:tRNA from 1 species